rnacentral:rRNA from 2 species
UCAAGGAUUCCCUCAGUAGCGGCGAGCGAACACGGAAGAGCCCAGCGCUGAAUCCCCCGGCCCGGAUCGGGACGGCGGGAAAUGUAGCGUUAGGGAGCGCCCGUCAACCCGGCGCGCGCGCGGCGAGCCCAAGUCUCCCUUGAACGGUGCCACAGUCCACAGAGGGUGCCAGGCCCGUACGGCCGCCGCCGCGUCCGAGUGGGCGUCUCCUCGGAGUCGGUCUGCUUGAGAACGCAGACCUAAGCGGGUGGUAAACUCCAUCUAAGGCUAAAUACGACCACGAGACCGAUAGCGCACAAGUACCGUGAGGGAAAGGUGAAAAGAACUUUGAAGAGAGAGUUCAAGAGUACGUGAAACUGGAGAGGUGAAAACGGAAGUGGCUCGAAAUUCCGAACGGUGGUGUUCAGUCUCACCGACCACCGGCGCCCUCGCCUGGGAGGUCCCAAGGGUCCCGUCGGAAACGGCGCGUGUCGGCCUCUCGGGGUCGGCCGCGUACGCCCCGGUUCCCCUCCCGCGGCGUUGGGUCAUGUGGCUCGGGGCGGUGUGGAUGCACUCGCUGCCGCAGUAGGAUGUCGCGACUCGUCGGGCGACGGUCAGUGAGGCCGGGGAGGUUCAGCCCGGUGUCCGUGUGACACGCACCCCUGGGGCGAAAUGCGUGCGGUGCGGCCCGGACUCCCCGUGUUUACCUCUCCGUCUGCCCGACGGUAUCGAAAGUGCGCCGGCCGCAGCGCCCCGCUGUAUACACGGUCCCCCCUUUGAUGGGGGGGCAGGCGGUGGCGCGACCCGACGAGGGAGAGUCGGCCGGCUCGUCUGCGGCAUUGCCUGAUUCGGGUCCACUUCCGACCCGUCUUGAAACACGGACCAAGGAGCGUAACACAUGCGCGAGUCGAAGGGUGCUACUAAACCCGGAGGCGAAGCGAAAGCGUAAGGGGCGAUGGCCAAGGCCGUGCUCUCCGGGUCCUCCCGGAUCCGGCCGGCCCGCAGCCCCGGGGCACCUCAUACGGCUCUGCGGUCUCCUCCCUGGGGGAGGGCGGCCGGCGCUCGCGCCGGUCGUUCUCUUUUUCUUCCCGGGGGUCCAAGGGGUUGCCGCUGAGUCGAGGCGCACCUGAGAGCGCCUGUGUUGUUACCCGAAAGAUGGUGAACUAUGCCUGGCCAGGACGAAGCCAGGGGAAACCCUGGUGGAAGUCCGUAGCGAUUCUGACGUGCAAAUCGAUCGUCGGAGCUGGGUAUAGGGGCGAAAGACUAAUCGAACCAUCUAGUAGCUGGUUCCCUCCGAAGUUUCCCUCAGGAUAGCUGGCGCUCGGAGUCUGACCGGACGAAUGAGUCUCAUCCGGUAAAGCGAAUGAUUAGAGGCCUUGGGGCCGAAACGACCUCAACCUAUUCUCAAACUUUAAAUGGGUGAGAACCCCGGCUUGCUUGAGAGGGGCGUGCGCCCUCCUGCCCCGGUCUGCCUCUGCGCGCGGGGCGGGGCGCCGUCCCGCCUAUCCCAAUGCGAUGAAGCCGGGGAAUCUCGGAUCAUGAGUGCCAAGUGGGCCAAUUUUGGUAAGCAGAACUGGCGCUGUGGGAUGAACCAAACGCAGAGUUAAAGCGCCUAAAUCGACGCUCAUGGGAGACCAUGAAAGGUGUUGGUUGCUUAAGACAGCAGGACGGUGGCCAUGGAAGUCGGAAUCCGCUAAGGAGUGUGUAACAACUCACCUGCCGAAGCAACUAGCCCUUAAAAUGGAUGGCGCUGAAGCGUCGUGCUCAUACUCUGCCGCCGAUGGCAAAAGAGGCCGGAACAUGGCGGACGGGCUCCCCCUGGCGGGGGAGCAGCCGGCCCCGCGCCCUGAAGCCUCGGCGAGUAGGAGGGUCGCUCGGGUGUGCGCAGAAGGGUCUGGGCGUGAGCCUGCCUGGAGCCGCCCGAGGUGCAGAUCUUGGUGGUAGUAGCAAAUACUCCAGAGAGGGCCCUGGAGGGCUGAUGCGGAGAAGGGUUCCGUGUGAACAGCUGUUGCACACGGGUCAGUCGAUCCUAAGCCCUAGGAGAACUCCUAUGUGCGAUGUGACGGGUGUUCUGCAAAGAUCCCCCCGUCGCCGGGCGAAAGGGAAUCAGGUUCCUAUUCCUGAACCCGGACGCGGUACCGUUCCACCGGGCUUGUCUCGAAGCCGUCCCCCAGCCGUCCCUAGCGGGCGGCCCCGGCGGGGCGUGCCUAGGGCGAACUCGUCGGGGUAACCCGAGCGGCCGCGGAGAAGCCGGCAGGAGCCCCCGGGAGAGUUGUCUUUUCUGUAUUACCGCGCAAGUUCCCUGGAAUUCCAUUGCGGAGAGAGAGGGAAUAGCGCGGGAAGAGCACCGCACUUGCGGCGGUGUCGGGGGUGCCCUCUCGGACCAUGAAAAUCCGCGUGAGGGCCACGGAGAACAACCGGUCCGGCUCGUACCCAUAUCCGCAGCSGUCUCAGGUGAGAGCUCUAGUCGAUAGACUA